UACGAAGGGAGCUAGCGUUACUCGGAAUCAUUGGGCGUAAAGCGUGCGUAGGCGGCUUUAUAAGUCGGAAGUGAAAGCCUGGGGCUCAACCCCAGAAUUGCUUUCGAUACUGUAGAGCUAGAAUACCAGAGGGGAUGGCGGAAUUCCUAGUGUAGAGGUGAAAUUCGUAGAUAUUAGGAGGAACACCGGUGGCGAAGGCGGCCAUCUGGCUGGUUAUUGACGCUGUUGCACGAAAGCGUGGGGAGCAAACAGG
rnacentral:rRNA from 2 species